rnacentral:tRNA from 1 species
GGGGAAGUGGCAGAGUCUGGUCGAAUGCACCCGACUUGAAAUCGGGAGACUUUAAUCGGUCCGGGGGUUCGAAUCCCUCCUUUCCCG